GUAAGGAAUAUUGCUCAAUGGCCGAAAGGCUGAAGCAGCAACGCCGCGUGAGGGACGAAGGGCUUAAGCUUGUAAACCUCUGUAACGGGGGAAAAAACUUCCACUUAAGUGGAAUAUGAUGGUACCCCGAAAGUAAGCGUCGGCUAACUACGUGCCAGCAGCCGCGGUAAUACGUAGGACGCAAACGUUGUCCGGAUUUACUGGGUGUAAAGGGUGCUCAGGCGGUCUUGUAAGUCAGAGGUGAAAUCUCCCGACUCAAUCGGGAAACUGCCUUUGAUACUGUGAGGCUUGAGUGCAGAAGAGGCGGAUGGAAUUUCUGGUGUAGCAGUGAAAUGCGUAGAUAUCAGAAAGAACACCAGUGGCGAAGGCGGUCCGCUGGUCUGUCACUGACGCUAAAGCACGAAAGCGUGGGUAGCAAACAGGAUUAGAAACCCCGGUAGUCC
rnacentral:rRNA from 1 species